CACGCAGUAAACUAUGUUCACUCGCUGUUUGCGAUAUACAGUAAGCGGCUUAGCGAAAGCAUUAAGUGAACCACCUGGGGAGUACGAUCGCAAGGUUGAAACUCAAAGGAAUUGACGGGGGCCCGCACAAGCGGAGGAACAUGUGGUUUAAUUCGAUGAUACGCGAGGAACCUUACCUGGGCUUAAAUGCAGAGUGCAUGCGGUGGAAACACCCUUCCCUUCGGGGCUUUCUGCAAGGUGC
rnacentral:rRNA from 1 species